rnacentral:rRNA from 1 species
GACGAACGCUGGCGGCGUGCUUAACACAUGCAAGUCGAACGGAAAGGCCCUGCUUUUGUGGGGUGCUCGAGUGGCGAACGGGUGAGUAACACGUGAGUAACCUGCCCUUGACUUUGGGAUAACUUCAGGAAACUGGGGCUAAUACCGGAUUGGAGCUCCUGCUGCAUGGUGGGGGUUGGAAAGUUUCGGCGGUUGGGGAUGGACUCGCGGCUUAUCAGCUUGUUGGUGGGGUAGUGGCUUACCAAGGCUUUGACGGGUGGCCGGCCUGAGAGGGUGACCGGCCACAUUGGGACUGAGAUACGGCCCAGACUCCUACGGGAGGCAGCAGUGGGGAAUAUUGCACAAUGGGCGGAAGCCUGAUGCAGCAACGCCGCGUGCGGGAUGACGGCCUUCGGGUUGUAAACCGCUUUCGCCUGUGACGAAGCGUGAGUGACGGUAAUGGGUAAAGAAGCACCGGCUAACUACGUG